AACGAACGCUGGCGGCAUGCCUAACACAUGCCAGUCGAACGAGACCUCCGGGUCUAUUGGCGCAUGGGUGCGUAACGCGUGGGAACCUGCCCUUAGGUUCGGAAUAACUCCCCGAAUGGGGUGCUAAUACCGGAUAAUGUCUACGGACCAAAGAUUUAUCGCCUUUGGAUGGGCCCGCGUUGGAUUAGCUAGUUGGUAGGGUAAAAGCAUACCAAGGCGACGAUCCAUAGCUGGUCUGAGAGGAUGAUCAGCCACACUGGGACUGAGACACGGCCCAGACUCCUACGGGAGGCAGCAGUGGGGAAUAUUGGACAAUGGGCGAAAGCCUGAUCCAGCAAUGCCGCGUGAGUGAUGAAGGCCUUAGGGUUGUAAAGCUCUUUUACCCGGGAUGAUAAUGACAGUACCGGGAGAAUAAGCUCCGGCUAACUCCGUG
rnacentral:rRNA from 1 species